GACGAACGCUGGCGGCGUGCCUAACACAUGCAAGUCGAACGGAAAGGCCCUGCUUUUGUGGGGUGCUCGAGUGGCGAACGGGUGAGUAACACGUGAGUAACCUGCCCUUGACUUUGGGAUAACUUCAGGAAACUGGGGCUAAUACCGGAUAGGAGCUCCUGCUGCAUGGUGGGGGUUGGAAAGUUUCGGCGGUUGGGGAUGGACUCGCGGCUUAUCAGCUUGUUGGUGGGGUAGUGGCUUACCAAGGCUUUGACGGGUAGCCGGCCUGAGAGGGUGACCGGCCACAUUGGGACUGAGAUACGGCCCAGACUCCUACGGGAGGCAGCAGUGGGGAAUAUUGCACAAUGGGCGGAAGCCUGAUGCAGCAACGCCGCGUGCGGGAUGACGGCCUUCGGGUUGUAAACCGCUUUCGCCUGUGACGAAGCGUGAGUGACGGUAAUGGGUAAAGAAGCACCGGCUAACUACGUGCCGGCAGCCGCGGUGAUACGUAGGGUGCGAGCGUUGUCCGGAUUUAUUGGGCGUAAAGGGCUCGUAGGUGGUUGAUCGCGUCGGAAGUGUAAUCUUGGGGCUUAACCCUGAGCGUGCUUUCGAUACGGGUUGACUUGAGGAAGGUAGGGGAGAAUGGAAUUCCUGGUGGAGCGGUGGAAUGCGCAGAUAUCAGGAGGAACACCAGUGGCGAAGGCGGUUCUCUGGGCCUUUCCUGACGCUGAGGAGCGAAAGCGUGGGGAGCGAACAGGCUUAGAUACCCUGGUAGUCCACGCUGUAAACGGUGGGUACUAGGUGUGGGGUCCAUUCCACGGGUUCCGUGCCGUAGCUAACGCUUUAAGUACCCCGCCUGGGGAGUACGGCCGCAAGGCUAAAACUCAAAGGAAUUGACGGGGCCCCGCACAAGCGGCGGAGCAUGCGGAUUAAUUCGAUGCAACGCGUAGAACCUUACCUGGGUUUGACAUGGAUCGGGAGCGCUCAGAGAUGGGUGUGCCUCUUUUGGGGUCGGUUCACAGGUGGUGCAUGGCUGUCGUCAGCUCGUGUCGUGAGAUGUUGGGUUAAGUCCCGCAACGAGCGCAACCCUUGUUCACUGUUGCCAGCACGUUAUGGUGGGGACUCAGUGGAGACCGCCGGGGUCAACUCGGAGGAAGGUGGGGAUGACGUCAAGUCAUCAUGCCCCUUAUGUCCAGGGCUUCACGCAUGCUACAAUGGCUGGUACAGAGAGUGGCGAGCCUGUGAGGGUGAGCGAAUCUCGGAAAGCCGGUCUCAGUUCGGAUUGGGGUCUGCAACUCGACCUCAUGAAGUCGGAGUCGCUAGUAAUCGCAGAUCAGCAACGCUGCGGUGAAUACGUUCCCGGGGCU
rnacentral:rRNA from 1 species